rnacentral:rRNA from 1 species
GAUGAACGCUGUCGGCGUGCCUAAUACAUGCAAGUCGAGCGAAGCGGGGACGGGUGAGUAACACGUGGAUAACCUCAUAUAAUACUGGGAUAACUUCGGGAAACCGGAGCUAAACCGGAUACUUAGAGAUGGAUCCUCGCUGCAUUAGCUAGUUGGUAAGGUAACGGCUUACCAAGGCAACGAUGCAUAGCCGACCUGAGAGGGUGAUCGGCCCUACUGUACCUGAGCCACGGUCCCGCCUCCGACGGGAGGCAGCAGUAGGGAAUCUUCCGCAAUGGGCGACAGCCUUACGGAGCAACGCCGCGUGAGUGAUGAAGUUCUUCGGAUCGUAAAACUCUGUUAUUAGGGAAGCGGUACCUAAUCAGAAAGCCACGGCUAACUACGUGCCAGCCGCCGCGGUAAUAC